GACGUAGGGCGCAAGCGUUGUCCGGAUUUAUUGGGCGUAAAGAGCUCGUAGGCGGCUUGCCACGUCUGCCGUGAAAACCAGCAGCUUAACUGUUGGCUUGCGGUUGAUACGGGUUGGCUGGAGUUCGGUAGGGGAGACUGGAAUUCCUGGUGUAGCGGUGAAAUGCGCAGAUAUCAGGAGGAACACCGGUGGCGAAAGCGCCUUGCUGGACCUGCACUGACACUGAGGGACGAAAGCUAGGGGAGCGAAAGGG
rnacentral:rRNA from 1 species